rnacentral:rRNA from 1 species
UUAUAUAAUAAUUUUUUCUAUUUGUUUUAUAAUAUUUUUAUUAAAAUAGUUUUUUUUAGGUUUUUUUUAGUAAUUUAUUUUGAAAUACUUAUUUUUAAUUAUAGUAUAUUUUUAAUGUAAGUGAUUUUUUGUUAUUAUUUUAUAAGAAUUUUUAUUAUUUUACCUUUUGUGUCAGGGUCGAUUAAAUAAAUUUAUUUUAUUAUUUUUUCUCGAAUUAAGAUGAUUUAUUUUAAUAUGAUUUUUUAUGUUUCAUAAUGAUUUUGAAUUUUAAUAUGGUAGUGAUAUUCUAUUCGUAUCUUAAUAUAUCUAGUUUUCUAAGAUUAAAUUUAAUUUUAAAUUUAUUUUAAAUUAAAUUAGUUUAUAUUUAAUUUUUAAUUUAUUUGUAUGGUUUAAGGGUUAAGCUUUGAAUUUUAUUAUAAUUUUGUUUUUAAUUUUUUUUUCUUAGGCUUGAAAUAAGCCAUUGUUUUAAUUGCGUUUUAGUUUAAUUAUUUAAUUAAUUAUUUUUUAUUUUAUUUAAUUUUAUUAUUAGAAUAUGGAUUUUAAUGUUUUAUGUUUAUUAAUAAUGAUUGAAUUAGUAUAAUUUUUGUGUUUUAUAUUUAUUUUUUUAUAUAUAUUUUAAAGGAAUUCGGCAAGUUUUUUAUGUUUCCGCCUGUUUAUCAAAAACAUCUCUUUUAGUUUUUAUUAAAGGUCGUGCCUGCUCACUGAUUUAUUAAAGAGCCGCGGUAUUUUGACCGUGCAAAGGUAGCCACUGAUUUAUUAAAGAGCCGCGGUAUUUUGACCGUGCAAAGGUAGCAUAAUCAUUAGUAUAUUAAUUGUAUACUGGAAUGAAAGGUUUGACGAGAAAUAUACUGUCUCUAUUAUAUUUUUAUAAUUUUACUUUCUAGUUAAAAGGCUGGGAUUUUUUUUUUGGACGAUAAGACCCUAUAGAGUUUGAUUUUAAAUAUUUUAUUAUUUUGGGUUAAGUUGUUAAUAAUUAAUUUUAUUGUUAGUUUUGUUGGGGUGAUGUGAAUAAUAAUUAAACUGUUCAUUAUUUUUAUCAUUGAUUUAUGUUUUUUAUGAUCUUAUAUUAUUGAUAUAAAGAUAAAAUUACCUUAGGGAUAACAGCGCAAUUAUCUUUGAGAGUUCUUAUUGACAAGAUAGAUUGUGACCUCGAUGUUGGAUUAAGAUUAUUUUUUAGGUGAAGGUGCUUAAUUUAGUUGGUCUGUUCGACCAUUAAAAUCUUACAUGAUCUGAGUUCAGACCGGUGUAAGCCAGGUUGGUUUCUAUCCAAAAAUUUUAUUAUAUUUUUUAGUACGAAAGGACCGUUAAUUUUGAUUAUUUUAUUUAAAUUGAUUAUUAUU